UACAGAGGGUGCGAGCGUUAAUCGGAAUUACUGGGCGUAAAGCGUGCGCAGGCGGCUUCGCAAGUCAGACGUGAAAUCCCCGGGCUUAACCUGGGAAUGGCGUUUGAAACUACGGAGCUGGAGUAUGGCAGAGGGGGGUGGAAUUCCACGUGUAGCGGUGAAAUGCGUAGAUAUGUGGAGGAACACCGAUGGCGAAGGCAGCCCCCUGGGCCAAUACUGACGCUCAUGCACGAAAGCGUGGGGAGCAAACAGG
rnacentral:rRNA from 1 species